UAGAUGCGAGAGUAGAGCAUAUCAAUAAGCGGAGGAAAGGAAACUAACAAGGAUUCCCCUAGUAACGGCGAGUGAAGCGGGAAGAGCUCAAAUUUGAAAUCUUCAAGGUUUGACCUUGACGAAUUGUAGUUUAAAGAAGUGUUUUCGGUUAGAGGAGUAGUAAAAGUUCUUUGGAAUAGGACAUCAUAGAGGGUGAGAAUCCCGUAUUUGACUAUUCUUUCUAGCUUUGUGAUACACUUUCAAAGAGUCGGAUUGUUUGGGAAUGCAGUCCAAAAUGGGUGGUAAAUUUCAUCUAAAGCUAAAUAUUGGCGAGAGACCGAUAGCGAACAAGUACCGUGAGGGAAAGAUGAAAAGAACUUUGAAAAGAGAGUUAAACGGUACGUGAAAUUGUCAAAAGGGAAGCGUUGACACCAGUGUUGUUUUCUCGAAAAUCAAUUAAAAAUGAUGGGAUUUUGUGUUGUAUUGACUUUAUCAGCUUUCUGCACUUUUUUCUUAUCUUUUUUAAUGCACUUUUCGUUUAACAAGUCAACAUCAAUUUCUUUUGUUGUAAAAGAGUCAUUGGAAGGUGGCUUUUUCUUCGGAAAAAGUGUUUAUAGCCUUUGACUUCUGCAGUCGGAGAGAUUGAGGUCUGCAGCGUAGAUCCUUCGGGGUUAGAUACAUUUGUGCUAAGCUAUAGUUCUUUAUAGACAACUUGUUGACUAUAAUCAAUCCUGUAACUUACUCGCUUAUGCUAUUUUACCUACGCUUAGGAUGUUGACGCGCGUGUGUGCGU
rnacentral:rRNA from 1 species